rnacentral:rRNA from 1 species
UAGUACGGCGAGUGAGAGGGAAGAGCCCAAGAUUGAAAGCUGGCGUCUUCGGCGUCCGCAUUGUAAUCUCAAGAAGUGUUUUCCGCUUCGGACCAAGCCUAAGUCCCCUGGAAAGGGGCAUCAUAGAGGGUGAUAAUCCCGUACAUGGCUUGGAGCGCCCGAGGCUUUGUGAUACGCUUUCUAAGAGUCGAGUUGUUUGGGAAUGCAGCUCAAAAUGGGUGGUAAAUGCCAUCUAAGGCUAAAUAUUGGGGAGAGACCGAUAGCGAACAAGUACAGUGAUGGAAAGAUGAAAAGAACUUUGAAAAGAGAGUUAAACAGUACGUGAAAUUGCCAAAAGGGAAGGGUAGGAGGUCAGAGAUGCGUCGCAGGAUUCAGCCUUGCUUUUGCUUGGUGUUUUUCCUGCGUUGCAGGCCAACGUCGGUUUUGGGCACUGGAGAAGGGUAGGAGGAACGUGGCACCUCUCGGGGUGUGUUAUAGCCUCCUACUGGAUACAGCGACCGAGACCGAGGAACGCAGCGUACUCGUAAGAGCGGGCCUUUUGGCACCUUUACGCUUAGGGCGUUGGCAUAAUGGCCCUCUACCACCCGUCUUGA